GUGGUUCAGUGGUAGAGUGCUUGCCUUGCAUGCAGGAAGCCCUGAGUUUGAUUCCUCAGC
rnacentral:tRNA from 1 species